UACGUAGGGGGCAAGCGUUGUCCGGAUUCAUUGGGCGUAAAGAGCGUGUAGGCGGCCAGGUAGGUCGGUUGUGAAAACUGGAGGCUCAACCUUCAGAGGUCGACCGAAACCAUCUGGCUAGAGUCCGGGAGAGGAGAGUGGAAUUCCUGGUGUAGCGGUGAAAUGCGCAGAUAUCAGGAAGAACACCCGUCGCCAAAGCGGCUCUCUGGAACGGUACUGACGCUGCGACGCGAAAGCGUGGGGAGCGAACAGG
rnacentral:rRNA from 1 species